UUUUUUUUCUUAGCUAAUGGUGUGACUGUUAUUAAGAUGCUAUGCUGAUAUCUAAUGGUGUGACCCAGGAAUGCCCAUGAAAUACUUGUUGGUUAAACAAAGGGAAGAUUCCUGGUCAACAGCAAAUGGCUGUGGACAUUCUUGCAGUCAACAGCUGUCCCUUCUCUGCUCAGAUCUCCAGUUCAAGUUCAUCACUUUCAUGAGUAAAUUGUCUCCUGAGAACUUCAGGUUCUGGGUUGGUGUCAGUGAGUCUCCAAUCUGAGAAGAUAUUUGAAAAUCAGAAUGAAAGUUCAAAAUGGAAACUGAACCCCCUAAAUGUAGGCUCUCCCCAGGCAUCUCUUAAUGUUGGUAGUCAGUUUUUUAGCAGUCUGAUUCUCUGAGCAUUUUCCCCACGUUGAGGCCAGAGGCCUAUUAGUGUCUGUUUUUUAAAGCUUCCAGGAAUAGAAACGCUUUGCAACAGCCAGUUGAUGUUAGGAUUUGUUUAUAAAAUAGGGAAUUAUGUAUAUUGAGACAGAAAUAUUUUAUUUUGAAACAUAGGAUUUUGUGCAAUAUUUUUCUUGCAUUGUUUAGUUUAUAUAAAUAUGCACAUCUGCUUUUCUGGCAGAUACCUUAAGGUCAUGUCUUUCAGUAUUUGCCUAAAACUGUAUGUAGCAAUGUUCUAUGUGAUUUCAGAAAAAAAAAUUACUCUUUCUAUUAUUAGUAGAAGUGUUCUUGUUUAUUUAAAAUAAUAAUGUGGAGAUUGCAUUAUUGUAUCAUAACGAACUGCCUCAGCCACAAUAAAUAUGCAAUAAGAAAUUCCUGUUCCUUUGAUUAGUAUUGACAAUACUGUUACUUUAACAGAAAUGUUUGUGGUACAGAGUGCUGGUUCUAUCUGUGUUCAUUUAACAGCUACUCUGCAGCACAAGAAUCUAAACGGUAUAUUUAUGUGAUAACCAUGUGUAUGUAGAUUAUGACAUCCUUUGUGAUGAGUCUUUGUUGAGGCUUGUAAAGGGCAUUGCCAAUACUUUUUGAUUGUAAAUUAAUUUUUUUGUAUGAUGUAUAGUUUGUUUAGCCUUAGAGCUUCUUUAGAUUUCUACUUUUAUUAUACUUGAAUGAGGCAGAAAGCACUGUGGGCAGUUUGUAACUCUGGAUGCAAUAUGCAGAUAUACCAAAAAUAAAACAAGGUACUGAACAGCAGCGCUAAUGGAAUGCGUUAUAAUCCAGGAGUUGUGUUUUUCAAGCCACAUUUUAGUGAAAUGAAGUAAUUGAAGAUAUACAGUCUUUUAUCUAGACAGUAUAGUCUCAAAUGAUUACCUCUUCAAUGUGUCAAAGGUGUGUGUCCUUUUUAACUUCUGUAUCAGUCCUUAGCUGAGCCUAGAGGACCAUCCAUCCUCCCUCCUCGGACCACAUGAUGUCUAGGACAGAACAAAUCAACUACAUUGUGCAUAUUAGGUGCACUGUCUGUGUGAAGUCACUGUGUUUUAGAUAGAGUAGCUUUCAUAGGUAAUUUUGAGAACUCUUUAAUAAUCAUAUACCAAAAACUAAAAACUAAAUUUUUUAAAUGAGUUAUUACUUAGCUGUGCCUAAAAUCUCUUAGACAUAAAGGCCACAUGAGGGACUCAGGAUUGAAUGUUUCCAAAGUUUAUGUUCAUUCCUUUAGCUAAAGAGUUGUUUGCUCAACAUAUAACCAGUAGCUUAAAAAACAAAACUAAGCAAAACAAAACAGAAAACCAUGAGCAGCAAGACACUGAGAUGUGCUUCGUGGUGCUUGCCCUCGAGACUACAGUUUAUCAUCUCUGGACUUAAUUACGAUUGGGAAGAUGUUCUGUAUAAAAUUAUUGUUUGGAAGUUUUUUAAUAUGCAAAAUAAAAUGUUGAAUGAACUCUGCUUUGCCAUAAAGUACCCAAUAAUGUCGCUGAAAAUAAAAUUGGUCACG
rnacentral:lncRNA from 1 species